UACGUAGGUGGCAAGCGUCAUCCGGAAUCACUGGGUGUAAAGGGUGCGUAGGCGGUAGGGCAAGUCAGAUGUGAAAGCCCGGGGCUCAACUCCGGGACUGCAUUUGAAACUGUCUUACUAGAGUGCAGGAGAGGAAAGCGGAAUUCCUAGUGUAGCGGUGAAAUGCGUAGAUAUUAGGAAGAACACCAGUGGCGAAGGCGGCUUUCUGGACUGUAACUGACGCUGAGGCACGAAAGCGUGGGGAGCGAACAGG
rnacentral:rRNA from 1 species